GCCGGGGUAGCCUAGCCUGGGAAGGCGCGGGACUCGAGAUCCCGUGCGCGCUGCGCACCAGGGUUCAAAUCCCUGCCCCGGCGCCA
rnacentral:tRNA from 2 species